rnacentral:rRNA from 1 species
CAGUUCGGAUUGUAGUCUGCAACCCGACUACAUGAAGCCGGAAUCGCUAGUAAUCGCGGAUCAGAAUGCCGCGGUGAAUACGUUCCCGGGUCUUGUACACACCGCCCGUCACACCAUGGGAGUCGGAAAUGCCCGAAGCCGGUGACCCAACCCGAAAGGGAGGGAGCCGUCGAAGGCAGGUCGGAUGACUGGGGUGAAGUCGUAACAAGGUAAC